rnacentral:rRNA from 1 species
ACGAACGCUGGCGGCGUGCUUAACACAUGCAAGUCGAGCGGAAAGGCCCUUCGGGGUACUCGAGCGGCGAACGGGUGAGUAACACGUGAGUAAUCUGCCCCAUGCUUCGGGAUAGCCACUCGAAAGGGUGAUUAAUACCGGAUACGACACGCCUCGGCAUCGAGUGUGUGUGGAAAGUUUUUUCGGCAUGGGAUGUGCUCGCGGCCUAUCAGCUUGUUGGUGGGGUAAUGGCCUACCAAGGCUUCGACGGGUAGCCG